AAUGGAUUUGCUUAUUGCACCACAUGUGUUUUUCUUUGAAACAAACUUGCUUUGGCGGUGGGCCCAGCCUGCCGCCAGAGGUCUAAACUUACAACCAAUUUUUUAUCAACUUGUCACACCAGAUUAUUACUAAUAGUCAAAACUUUCAACAACGGAUCUCUUGGUUCUCGCAUCGAUGAAGAACGCAGCGAAAUGCGAUACGUAAUAUGAAUUGCAGAUAUUCGUGAAUCAUCGAAUCUUUGAACGCACAUUGCGCCCUCUGGUAUUCCGGAGGGCAUGCCUGUUUGAGCGUCGUUUCUCCCUCAAACCGCUGGGUUUGGUGUUGAGCAAUACGACUUGGGUUUGCUUGAAAGACGGUAGUGGUAAGGCGGGAUCGCUUUGACAAUGGCUUAGGUCUAACCAAAAACAUUGCUUGCGGCGGUAACGUCCACCACGUAUAUCUUCAAACUUUGACCUCAAAUCAGGUAGGACUACCCGCUGAACUUAAGCAUAUCAAAGGCGGGGAGGAAAG
rnacentral:rRNA from 1 species